rnacentral:rRNA from 1 species
CGCUAGCGGCGCGCUUAUGCAUGCAAGUCGAGCGAUGAGACUCCUACGGGAGCACAUCAGCGGCAGACGGGUGAGUACACGUAGAUGACGUACCCUCAAGACGGGUGAUACGGAUGGAAACAUGCGCUAAUACCGGAUGACCUUACGAUGUCAGAAUGGUAAGGAAAGCUACGGCGCUUGAGGAGCGGUCUGCGGCCCAUCAGCUAGUUGGUAGGGUAAAGGCCUACCAAGGCGAAGACGGGUAGGGGGUGUGAGAGCACGGCCCCCCACAAUGGAACUGAGACACGGCCCAUACUCCUACGGGAGGCAGCAGCAGGGAAUAUUGCACAAUGGACGGAAGUCUGAUGCAGCGACGCCGCGUGAGUGAAGAAGGCCUUCGGGUUGUAAAACUCUUUUGAGGGGGAAGAGCGAGGACGGUACCCCUGGAAUAAGCGUCGGCUAACUACGUGCCAGCAGCCGCGGUAAGACGUAGGACGCGAGCGUUAUCCGGAUUUACUGGGCGUAAAGCGUCUGUAGGCGGAUGUGUAAGUUGGGCGUGAAAGCUCCGGGCUUAACCCGGAGAGGCCGUUCAAUACUGCAUAACUUGAGGGUGUCAGAGGGGAGCGGAAUUCCCGGUGUAGCGGUAAAAUGCGCAGAGAUCGGGAGGAACACCAGUGGCGGAGGCGGUUCCCUGGGGCUCACCUGACGCUGAGAGACGAAAGCUAGGGAAGCGAACAGGAUUAGAGACCCUGGUAGUCCUAGCCCUAAACGAUGAAUGCUAGGUGUGGGAUCGAAUGGUCCCGUGCCGGAGCGAACGC